CAUCAUUACUGUUCAUCUAGAAAUUGUUUUGAAAAUGGCUCGCUUAAUUAAGGAUGGUUCUUCAAGAGAGCAAAAGUCUAGUGCAGAACCUGUCAGCAAGGCUCCUUCUAAGAUCUUUAAUUGUUUUGAAAAGGAUUUUUAUGGGGAUGGGAUCAGUUUGAAACAAAUGAGGCCUUGUUUGGGGUAAAAAGCACAUUCAAUGAGGAACUAUAUACAACAAAGCUUGAAAAAGGGCCUCGGACAAGAGAACUGGAAAAAUAAGCCUUAAGAAUAGCAAGAGAAACUGAAGGUAAGGAAACCCAAGAUCUGCAUCUUGUGGAGGAAAGAGGACUUCACUUUCAUGAAAACUUUGAUAUUGAUGAAGAAACUAGAUUCUCUUCAGUCGCUAGGGGUAAAGGUAUUGAUGAUAGCGGAUAUGAUGAAAAUGAGGACAUACUGUCUGAUUCACUCAAUUCU